ensembl:lncRNA
AAACGCUGCUGCUUGUCCUUCAGCUGAAUUUGAGACUUGGUGGAACUCACAGCAUGAAAAUAUUCAUGAAAUACACACCGAUAAGAAAUAACCUCAAAACUAACAACAGACUUACUGCUUACAAGCAUGGGUCCCUGGUGGUGCAGGCCUAUAAAACCCACACAGCCCAUCUCUGUAGAGGUCAUCUGAGCUUUGGUGUCACCUGUCAGUCGAUGUAGGUGUAUCUGUUCCCUAACACCCAGGGGACGACAAGUCCAUUAAUGCCUUAUUGUGUGCAUGUAUAAGGUAAACAAAACCCGUACACCCUGGAAAGAGUAUGAACUUCCAUAUUCCAGGCUACAUGUCCG